GACGGACGCUGGCGGCGUGCUUAACACAUGCAAGUCGAGCGGAAAGGCCCUUCGGGGUACUCGAGCGGCGAACGGGUGAGUAACACGUGAGUAACCUGCCCCAGACUUUGGGAUAACCCUCGGAAACGGGGGCUAAUACCGGAUACGACACAGCUUCGCAUGGGGUCUGUGUGGAAAGUUUUUCGGUUUGGGAUGGGCUCGCGGCCUAUCAGCUUGUUGGUGGGGUGAUGGCCUACUAAGGCGACGCCGGGUAGCCGGCCUGUGAGGGCGACCGGCCACACUGGGACUGAGACACGGCCCAGACUCCUACGGGAGGCAGCAGUGGGGAAUAUUGCACAAUGGGCGGAAGCCUGAUGCAGCGACGCCGCGUGAGGGAUGACGGCCUUCGGGUUGUAAACCUCUUUCAGCAGGGACGAAGCGUAAGUGACGGUACCUGCAGAAGAAGCGCCGGCCAACUACGUG
rnacentral:rRNA from 1 species